GACAGAGGGUGCAAACGUUGCUCGGAAUUACUGGGCGUAAAGCGCGUGUAGGCGGGUCGGUGUGUCGGGUGUGAAAUCCCCAGGCUCAACCUGGGAACUGCAUUCGAAACUACCGGCCUAGAGUGGUGGAGAGGGAAGUGGAAUUCCUGGUGUAGAGGUGAAAUUCGUAGAUAUCAGGAGGAACACCAGUGGCGAAGGCGGCUUCCUGGACACCAACUGACGCUGAGACGCGAAAGCGUGGGGAGCAAACAGG
rnacentral:rRNA from 1 species